AUACCAGCUGCAGACAAUCAUUAAUCAGCAAGUUUCUCACCUGAAGAAAUCAAAUCCACUCUUUUGAAGUCUGCAGUUCAGACUUCAGGCCAACAAACUGCUGGAUCAGAACUGAGCAAACACAGAAGUGACAACUGUUGUCAGGAACCAGGCUGGCAGACGUGGAAGCAUCCAACCGUCGAGGGCGGCCGGUGGGAGGAGGCAAGAGAGUCCGCAGCUGUGUCUUUGACAGCUGCAGGAGGAACGACGCAAGCUCUCCGCUCAUGUCUACAUCCCAAUGUGACGUAAGAACACGUUGUGGAGAGGCGGAGCCGACGGUCCAACAGAGAGGUAGGACACGCUGGAGCCCGGCCCAAGAUGGCGGCGAGGAGGCGGGGAUGUCGAGCGAGUGGCGAGGCGGGGCGUGCCGGGAGCGACGCCACAAACGAGAUCAGGUGUGUGGAUCGCGCACCUGAACAUGAUUAACGUAUCUCCUCUCGCUGUAUAAAAAGGGAGAAGGAGGAGAGAACGGGGCUGGUGAAGAUUAGAUAGUACUUUAUUUAUUCCGUCAGGAAAAUUAAAAUU